UUCUCAGGGAAUAUACCAUCCACAGAAAAAAAGCGCCCCGCCUCAUCCCGAGAUCAGAAUCAGAGGCCACGCGGCGAUGGCGAUGGCGAUGCCGAUGGCAGUGGCGCGGGUGACCAGCCUCGCCUGCGCCCCCCGACAGGCGCAGCAUCGCCGCCGCCAUAGCCUUGCCCCGCCGUGCGCCUCGGGUGCGGUGGAGGUGCGGGUCUGCACGAACCGCACGUGCGCGCGGCAGGGUGGGCGCGAGGUCCUGGCUGCGCUCGCGGGACUCGCGCCGCCGGCGGUCGACGUGGCCUCCUGCGGGUGCCUCGGGCGCUGCGGCGCCGGGCCCAACGUUGCGGCGUCCGUCCCUGGGAGCGCCGCGGUGUUCGGCCACGUGGGCACGGCGGCGCGAGGCGCGCAGCUACUGGAGCACCUCCUCGGCCCCGCGGAAUUCGAUGCGGCCCUAGGGCUCACCGCGCUGGCCACGAGGGAGAAGGCGGAGGCUGCCCUCGAGAAGGGAAACGCGGACGAAGCGGAAGCCCUUCUCACCGAGGUUAUUGGGUUCAAUGCUUGUGGUGGUCUGCAUUUGGUGUACAUGAGCAGGUCUAAGGCGAGAUUGGAAAUUGGGGAUAUCCCUGGUGCACUUGGGGAUGCUGAGGAAGCAAUAAGAAUAGCUCCCAGAUUUCCUCAGGCUCACUUAUUGCGAGGCGACGCACUUUUUGCAAUGGGUGAAUAUUCUGUCGCGGAAGAUGCCUAUGCAGAUGCCUUGGAUCUUGAUCCAUCUAUUCGCCGGUCCAAGUCUUUCAGGGCUCGCGUGGAAAGGCUACGAGAGAAGCUUGUUAGUGCCAAUAAUCCGUAGUUCAUUUUGAAGCUCUCUCUCCAUCAGAAGUUCGAUCCACAAGUAACGUAGAUAUGUUCUUGGUGAAGGUAAUAAUGCUCACACACUUUGCAAGCCACUGGUCAGGAAUUGAUUGUUGCCACAGCUUGGAGGAUCCAACAGUUCAUAUGAAUGGCUUCUGGAAUUUUCUCAUGAUUACAUCUGGACUGAUGAGAACAAACUACUAAGUCUCAACUACAAGUGUUUUGAAGGUAACGGAAAUGCAACAUGGUUAUUGUCUUGCACUUAGCCGGUAUGUUCAUUUGUUUGGAUUCAUACACAGAUGUCGUCACAAUAUGUUAAGUAUUUCCAUGCUUUGGCACUACAUGUCAUGAAAUUUAGUAUCAAAUCAAGUACUCCUGUAACCUUUAUUCAUUUUCAUUUUGCAAUUAUAUAGUUUCUGGGAAAAGCUGCAGUUCUUAUUCAUUGUGCUUCUGAGUAUUUGUGACCGUUGAUGUCCUUUGCAGAAAAUAGUUUAGCAUCCCUUUGAUUGUACCUUUUAUCGUUCUUUUAUCUCACCUAGUCACCUUGCGGUCCUUUUGCAUCUAUUAGGUAGAAACUUUCUUAAUCUUGCUCAUUUGGGUGUUUUUUUUGUACCAGUAGCUUUUUUAGGUCCUGUUAGACUAUCUCCAGCAGAUUACUCAUCCCUAUCCCCGUAUUCAAACAUCACUCUGCAAACAAUGCAAAUCAGUGUUUUGGGUGACCAUAUUGGUGAAUUGCUGGAAACGGUCUUACGUAUCCCGAGAAUCUAGGAGGAUUAUUCUAGUUUUUGGUUGAAUUAAAAUUGGUGCCUUCUGCCUUGACCUAACCAAAGAAAGAAAAAUGUUUUAACCAAGGCUUGUGAUCCAGACCAGAGACGACUAAGUUUAGCAUACACUUGGGCUACAUACCUCAGGGUGUGCUGGCAUCUGAAAGAGGCAUUUCCCCUCUUUUCGUGGUGUGGCUUUCUGAAGCUACAACUAACUGCUGCACACAUACAUCAUGAGAAUUUGUAAGACGGCCUUCACAGCCAGUUAAAUUUUUGCUGGCGUUGUGGUUGGUACUAUUGUUGGUAUUUUGACACAACAUUAGUUGGUGGGUUAGUUAAUACGUAAAGUUGUCCAUUGCUGUUAAACAUCGGUCUUUUUUACUUACAAAAGCCAUUUACUGUAAGCAUGCCCAAAUAAUGGUUUCUCCAAGCUUGGUCUCUUAAGCUUUUUCUCAACGUAUAAAAGGAAAGAGGGAAGAACUGGACUGAUAAGGAGAAAAUAUGAUGGAGAUCAGUAGUUACAAAACACAGUUAGCAAAUCCAAUACCCAAGCAUUUACAAAACAGCAUUGAGCACUGGUUUUGUAGGAUUCAAGUUGUAGCAGCUGCUUGAUGUCUGACCUUUUCUAUUUCUUUAUCUAUUUUAGGUGCUAUAUCCAUUUUUUUGUGUAUGAAGGUAUGAUUGUUCAUAUCAAGUUUAUCUUCAUGUGUGAAUGCUGAUCAGCAUGGACUCCAUGUGUAUCCCACAUAAAGGAAUCGAUCCUUUUUGCACCUGUAUUUUUUUUUGGGAACGGAGCUCCUUUUGUCCCCAAAAUCAGUUGGCAUAUAUAUUUUUAUAAAGAACCAAGGAUAUGUGUCUACAUAUGGCCCACAACAUUGAAGUAUGAACUUGCAAUUCUGGUCUUCAAAGCUGACCAGACCAAUUUGGCCUUGCUGCCAGCAAAUUGCCACCUUGCUGAGAUUCCACACCAGCUUUUGAGACAGGAAACUAAUUUGUUUAGUACCAUAUUUUUUGGAGGCCAUCACCUGGAUUAGUUUACGCACAUGCAGCAUGAUGAGAACAUUCUUAGCAUGGUAUAUUAUUUAUUAAAAACUAAAAAAAGGAGGAAAUGUUAGCUGUUCUGAUUGUGAUGUUGAGCUGAUUGGCUGCCCCGUGUGAUGCAGUGUACAGAAAGAAAACUUAUAUGGAUAACCUUGCUGACUCGCACAUUGUCUGCUGGCUUUGAUUUGGAAAACGCCAAGUCCUGUCUUGGACAUUAAGAUCUUUGAAAUGCUCAUCCCGUCUAUAUAUUACACCAAAUAAUCGUAUCAACACAAACCAUAUUUUUUUCAGUUGUAGACAGCAGACAUGAGACAUGCCCUUAUGGUACCUUUUUAUGAUGCAGCUAUGCAUAAACAGAAUCCUAAUAUCGUUAGACUUGCACCACCUGUUUUAAGAAAAUGAUAAAGUCAAGGCUGUAGCAAUUUUAUUUUCUGUUCCUCUGCCGAAUCAUCAGCAUCUAUUGAAUUGUAUAUGCAAUUGUAAUCCCAUUUCCCUUCACAGAAUGUUAGCACACCCACUUAUUCCAUUCCCCCCAAGUGCUACAGCAUGUUGCUAAACCAAAUGGUGGAAACCGUUGCUGCCAUAACCCCUGUCAGCUUUUGUGUAAACUUCAUAUGUAAACUUGUGUUACUUGUUAGGUUGCCCUAGUUCAAAGCUACACAUCUCAGACUUCAGGUGCACCCUCCCCCAGCUCCCCCUCACUGUAAAGCAAUGUUUGGUUGGUGGGAUGAUCCCUCCUUUUGGUGCUGUUUGGUCUGUCUACGUCAAACGGGGCCUUGAUUCCAGGCUUACACUCUUUCUUAAAGACUUGUUCGUCCUCAUUAUCCAUGUGCUUGUGUGCAGUUCAAGCAUCGCCUGAAGUCAAAGUCAGAUGUGCGGCCAACGGAAUGCACGAGUCUGGCGGCUCAGGCGCCCAACGUUUUGGUUCCCACCGCUUCCGAUGCGUGGCGGUAAAGCCAAGCAUGCGUGGAGGCAACUGUAGGAGUAGCCACACCAGAUAGUACUGUACUGCACUGCUGCUGCCUUGGGGCGUAUAGCGUUUAUGGUCCCGUUAUUUGUUGUUCUGCAGUGAAAUGGAGGCUUUGCCCCUCGGGCUGUUUGACGUUCUGAUUUCACUCCUUUGUUUUCAAAAUGAAGGUCUCCAGACGAAAGGAAAAGUGAAGGAAUUUUGAAGGAUUGAAAUCUAAUAAGAAAUUUUUCUAUGUGACUCUUUGGAACAAAGGAUUGAUCUCCUAUAAAUCCUAUAAAAUUCCUAUAGAAUGGACCAUUUUAGUAAGAUUUUGGAGAAUUUUUAACACGAGAUCCAAAUUCUUGGAAAUUUUUCUA